UCCAAGCGGUGAUGAUGAUGACUACAUGUCACUUUGCUGACAUUCACUGAUGCUUUUAAGUCACUACCUCAUCUGAGCUUGAG